GAAACGCAGCGAAAUGCGAUACGUGGUGCGAAUUGCAGAAUCCCGUGAACCAUCGAGUUUUUGAACGCAAGUUGCGCCUGAGGCCAGCUGGCCGAGGGCACGUCCGCCUGGGCGUCAAGC
rnacentral:rRNA from 1 species